rnacentral:ncRNA from 1 species
ACUACGUUCCGCGAGAAGUAGACUUUUGCGUUGAGUGAAAAGUCUCCAAACCUUGGCGCGGCCUCAUUGGCCGCGCUUUUUUUUG